rnacentral:misc_RNA from 1 species
GGAUGAAGAACGUAGCGAAAUGCGAUAAGUAAUGUGAAUUGCAGAAUUCAGUGAAUCAUCGAAUCUUUGAACGCACAUUGCGCCCCCUGGUAUUCCGGGGGGCAUGCCUGUUCGAGCGUCAUUUCACCACUCAAGCCUCGCUUGGUAUUGGGCAACGCGGUCCGCCGCGUGCCUCAAAUCGACCGGCUGGGUCUUCUGUCCCCUAAGCGUUGUGGAAACUAUUCGCUAAAGGGUGUUCGGGAGGCUACGCCGUAAAACAACCCCAUUUCUAAGGUUGACCUCGGAUCAGGUAGGGAUACCCGCUGAACUUAAGCAUAUCAAUAAGCGGAGGA